CGAGUGCUCCCGUGAUAUUCGUUGUUAUAUGAAUAUAUCCGUCGAAAUCCACGCAUAAAUAAUUACCCAAACGUCAUCGACGUCCUAAUAACUUUGUUGACAAUUGUGAUAAAGAACACGGCCAGAUACAUACACAUACAACAGCAGGAAUGCCAUAAUAAUUUUUUCAAAUUUUCCAAUUUGCAACGUGUACAACAGAACGAUCAACAUAAUUGACGACACCAACAAUUGAGAGAGGAGGAGGAGGUCCGGGAAAAGCGUCGGGUGCCAGUAAAAUAAACUUAAUAUCAACGUUACUGAUUGUAGUCAACUUUGCGCUGUUUCGCAAUGGUGAGUGAUAAAUUAUUAUUUACGAGGUAACGGUUUUAACGUGUGAAAAUGUAGAUUUGAAUUGUAGACUGUAGUGUAGAUUGUAGUUAGUUCCGUUACCU